GCUACAUGAACUAGCUGAAUACAAAUACUUUCCUCAGACCCUCUUUUCUGCGGGAACCCAAACAAAGGAACUCUUCUGUUACAUUUUGAAAUUGUACUUAGAAUAUCGUAUCUCCACAAUGAAUAUUUGAAGAGAAAACGAAGAGGUUAUUAAAUGUGUUUGGGAAUAUUGUAAUUAUAAUAGAAACAUGGAUGGAACUGGAGGCCAUCAUCUCAAGUGAAACAACUCAGAAUCAGAAAGCCAAAUAUGUGUUCUCACCUAUUAACUGGGCCUGAGGAUUUCUUUAAGCCAGGGAAAUUAAUGACAAGGAGUCUUCAGCUUUUACCACCAUUAAUUGCAUUUGAUCAGCCUCUCUUACUGAAGUUUCAAUUUUGUUGGCUGGUGAAAUCAGAAAUGGAAAAAUUGUAAAGAUUACUAAAGAGAUGGCAGUUCCAGCUGAAAGGUUGGCGUGCUUUGUUUUCAACAGUAUGUACUGACAUAGAUCACAGUAAAAGGCACAAAACAGUAUGUAUAUUAUUGAUGUUAUGCUCAUCUGUUCCAUAAGAAACCUCACUCCCUCAGUUUCCUCCCUUGAGUUCUUGGAGUCCCUUUAUGAAUUAUAUAGCAUUGUACUCCCAAGCAAGCCUAUCAUUUGUCCUCUGGUGCCUGAAAUUUUUGUUCUUAUUCUGACUAUAGGGAUGGUUGGAGUCAAGGUAACUGACAGAUCCCUCACAGGGGUACUCAUGCUUGUCCAUGUUAUCCUAUCUCUUCCCUCCAUCCUAGAGGGAAGAUAUCUGGAGUAUAGUCCACCCACUAGUUUCCAUGCUGCAACAGUGUCCCCCACCCAUACUGGAUUAUAAUCCUUUAAAAGAGGCUAAAGAGAAAUUUGUCCAUAUGC